GGGAGAUUAGUUUAACGAUAAAACAUUGUUUUUACACUGCAAGGUUAGGGGUUUGACUCCUCUAUUUCUCA
rnacentral:tRNA from 1 species